CCUACGGGAGGCAGCAGUGGGGAAUCUUGCGCAAUGGGCGAAAGCCUGACGCAGCCAUGCCGCGUGAAUGAUGAAGGUCUUAGGAUUGUAAAAUUCUUUCACCGGGGACGAUAAUGACGGUACCCGGAGAAGAAGCCCCGGCUAACUUCGUGCCAGCAGCCGCGGUAAUACGAAGGGGGCUAGCGUUGCUCGGAAUUACUGGGCGUAAAGGGAGCGUAGGCGGACAUUUAAGUCAGGGGUGAAAUCCCGGGGCUCAACCUCGGAAUUGCCUUUGAUACUGGGUGUCUUGAGUAUGAGAGAGGUGUGUGGAACUCCGAGUGUAGAGGUGAAAUUCGUAGAUAUUCGGAAGAACACCAGUGGCGAAGGCGACACACUGGCUCAUUACUGACGCUGAGGCUCGAAAGCGUGGGGAGCAAACAGGAUUAGAUACCCUGGUAGUCCACGCCGUAAACGAUGAUUGCUAGUUGUCGGGAUGCAUGCAUUUCGGUGACGCAGCUAACGCAUUAAGCAAUCCGCCUGGGGAGUACGGUCGCAAGAUUAAAACUUAAGGAAUUGACGGCUGAGACGNGCGAGACGACGACGAGGAGAG
rnacentral:rRNA from 1 species